rnacentral:tRNA from 1 species
GAGUGACGUCUCGACUCGAUCGUUGGUCUGAAGUUAUGCUUCCAUAAGAACCCUCUUGUACUGCGCGUACUUGUUUAUUAAAAUAUACGAGAAAAGUAGAAGCCGAGCCGUAAGGCGAGGGUUUGACUGACAGUCCUAUAGCUCAGUUGGUUAGAGCGCUACACUGAUAAUGUAGAGGUCGGCAGUUCAACUCUGCCUGGGACUACUUCAAAGUUGAAAACUGAAAAUUGAGAAAUGAAAAUCGGGAACUCUCCGGAUUUUCCACUUUCCACUUUCCGUUUUCCACUUAUAAGAAGGGGGAUUAGCUCAGCUGGCUAGAGCACCUGCUUUGCACGCAGGGGGUCAACGGUUCGAAUCCGUUAUUCUCCACUCCGUUUUGAUUAUUGUUUUAUAAUUGAAACACCGUUCUUUGACAUGAUGUGACCAAAAAAAAGUAAAGUUAAAAGCUGAAAGUAUAUAUCGACCAUACGUGAUCGGUAAGA